GCCGAUGUAGCUCAGUUGGUAGAGCGCGGGUAUCGUAAACCUGAGGUCGAAGGUUCGAAACCUUUCGUCGGCAUCA
rnacentral:tRNA from 1 species